rnacentral:rRNA from 1 species
AUGUUGCCCCCGGCGCUGUCGCCGACCAGGAGCAGCCGCGUCAGGUCGGUGCGGCGCGACAGCCAGGGCUCCGUCCCAAACCGCGCGCUCCUGAGCACCCACCGGAGCGCCGUCCACGCGUCAUCGUAGGCCGUCGGGAGGGGGUGCUCCAGCGAGAGGUGGUAGUCCACCGACACGAUGAGCGCCCCGACCUUCUACACGAGCGCGUUGAGGUACCGCUGCUACGUCGGCGAGAAGGCAGACUCCGUGAUGAACCCGCCGCCGUGGUAG